CACUCCUGCGGGAGGCAGCAGUGGGGAAUUUUGGACAAUGGGCGAAAGCCUGAUCCAGCCAUGCCGCGUGCAGGAUGAAGGCCUUCGGGUUGUAAACUGCUUUUGUACGGAACGAAACGGCCUUUUCUAAUAAAGAGGGCUAAUGACGGUACCGUAAGAAUAAGCACCGGCUAACUACGUGCCAGCAGCCGCGGUAAUACGUAGGGUGCAAGCGUUAAUCGGAAUUACUGGGCGUAAAGCGUGCGCAGGCGGUUAUGUAAGACAGUUGUGAAAUCCGGGCUCAACCUGGGAACUGCAUCUGUGACUGCAUAGCUAGAGUACGGUAGAGGGGGAUGGAAUUCCGCGUGUAGCAGUGAAAUGCGUAGAUAUGCGGAGGAACACCGAUGGCGAAGGCAAUCCCCUGGACCUGUACUGACGCUCAUGCACGAAAGCGUGGGGAGCAAACAGGAUUAGAAACCCGAGUAGUCCCAUG
rnacentral:rRNA from 1 species